rnacentral:rRNA from 1 species
AUUGAACGCUGGCGGCAGGCCUAACACAUGCAAGUCGAACGAGUGGCGGACGGGUGAGUAAUGUCUGGGAAACUGCCUGAUGGAGGGGGAUAACUACUGGAAACGGUAGCUAAUACCGCAUACCAUCGGAUGUGCCCAGAUGGGAUUGGCUAGUAGGUGGGGUAAAGGCUCACCGGGGCGAUGAUCCCUAGCUGGUCUGAGAGGAUGACCGGCCACACUGGAACGGAGCCACGGUCCAGACUCCUACGGGAGGCAGCAGUGGGGAACAUUGCACAAUGGGCGCAAGCCUGAUGCAGCCAUGCCGCGUGUAUGAAGAAGGCCUUCGGUUUGUAAAGUACUUUCAGCGGGGCGGCGGUACCCGCAGAAGAAGCACCGGCUAACUACGUGCCAGCAGCCGCGGUAAUUC